GAUGGGUGAAUGGGUAGGUGAGUGAGUGAAUGAAUUAAUGAAAAGUCAUGAAGUAGAGGAACUGGGAUAUGAGGUCACUUCUCCUUUCUAAGGGCUUUGCAAGGGUGACAACUGUCCUGGGGAAUCUUCUGUAGUCCUUAGUCACUUUGCGGCCUGGGGCUGAGCGGCACAGUGGACAGGCAGACUGGAGUUCAGGCGGAGCUCCCUGCAGGGGAGGCAGGGAGGGGAAAGCUCAGGGACUGUGAAAGCUGGAGCUGUGUCCCCCCACCUGGCGGAGAGUGGUCCAGCCCCACCACCAAGCAUCUGUGGGACCCCAGGCAGCAGCCUGCUCCCAGGCUGCUUUGAAGAUGAAGGGAGGCGAGGGGUGUGGUGGUUCCGGAAAGGGAAAGGGGCUCCUUUGACUCUCCCCAGAGUGCUCAGGCCCCUGAGAGGUCCCCCACCUGCUGCAGUACCUCGUCCCUGUGCGGGGCUUAGUUACGGGGCUCAGCCAAGCAGUGGCAGCCUGGGUGUUGACUCCUUCUGAGCAAGACAGUCACCAGCAGCUGCGGCCAAGGCCAGGCUGGGGUCCUGCCUUCGGAAGACUCUCUCUCUCAGGAGCUUCCUUAUUUAGGCACCUCUCCUUUGGCUCUGUUCAUUCCGCCAGCAUUCACUGAGCGCCUGCCAUGUUCCAGGUGCUGUGCGGGGGCGGGGUCACCAUGGACAGUGAAACAGACCCAGCAUCACCCUCCUGGAGGCCAGAGUCCAGCAGGGGGUGGAUGUUAAUAAAGUAAUCACCCCAACAGACAGUGACCCACGGGGCAUGUGUGAGGGGCAAUCAUAGGGCUGGGAUGGGAGUAGGUCAUGGGGGGGCAGUGGCCAGGACAGAGUUCUCUGGGGACAGGUCUGAAGGCACGAGCCAGGCAGAGAGAAGCUUGAGGGGCAGGCCGGGCAGAGGGAAGUGCACGUAACAAGAAGGAGGCCACCGCUCCCCCAUUCCCGGCUGUGCCAGCCCUGUCUCAGUCCUACGCUGGAGGAACGGUGCUGUGACCAGCUGAAGAGGAGGAUGAAGAGGCCUGGAGCAAUGACAUAAACAACCAAGAAGCAUGUGGUCUACUUGCCCAGGGCCCCGGCUGUUACCCCAGGGACAGGCCCUCACCUGCACCCCGUCACCCACUCCCCAGGGGAUGCACAUGGCCAGGUGACCCUCACCUGCACAGCCUAGGAGCCCUUGGCCAGCCUUGGAAGGCAAGAGAACCAGAGGUCUCAGCCUCCACUGUCAGCUGGCGCAUGGAGUGGGCACCCAACGUCCCUGCAGGAGGCGGAGACCUCACCAGCCUGGGGUGACUUGGAUCCACCUGGUGGGUCCCUGUCACAGGCUGUGUCCCACGUCUGCUCUGGGGCAGCCUGGCCUGGGCUGUGCACUGGCCCACCGUGUGACCUCGGAUGUGUCACCCACCCACCCUGCACUAGUGUGGCUCUUGACCACUGACCAACGACAUCCCAGCCAGCUCCCUGCUGCAGCCCCCUGACAGCCCGCUACAACGGAGGCUCCCAGAGAGCCGGGCCUCGUCUCCGCUGCCACCUCCACACGCGCCUCAGCGCCCAGGUCAGCGCCUGGCACACAGGAGGCUCCCAAGAAAUAGCAAAUGUUUGUUUGAGGACUACAAAAGUGUGUAAAUAAACAGGA